rnacentral:rRNA from 1 species
AUACGUAGGGGGCGAGCGUUGUCCGGAAUGAUUGGGCGUAAAGGGCGCGUAGGCGGCCCGGUAAGUCUGGAGUGAAAGCCCUGUUUUUAAGAUGGGAAUUGCUUUGGAUACUGUCGGGCUUGAGUGCAGGAGAGGUAAGUGGAAUUCCCAGUGUAGCGGUGAAAUGCGUAGAGAUUGGGAGGAACACCAGUGGCGAAGGCGACUUACUGGACUGUAACUGACGCUGAGGCGCGAAAGUGUGGGGAGCAAACAGGAUUAGAUACCCUGGUAGUCCACACUGUAAACGAUGAAUGCUAGGUGUAGGGGGUAUCGACCCCUUCUGUGCCGCAGUCAACACAAUAAGCAUUCCGCCUGGGGAGUACGGCCGCAAGGUUGAAACUCAAAGAAAUUGACGGGG